rnacentral:tRNA from 1 species
GGAUUGAGGCUUAGAGGUAGAGUACUCACCUAGCAUGCGUGAGGCACUGAGUUCGAUCCUCAGCACCA